AAACCUGGGGCAUGAACUCUUUUGGGGGGCGGGAGAAUUUGGAGUUUAUUAUUUUAUGCAAAGCAUUGAGACAGUCAUUAUGGGAAAAACCUAAAUAUAGCUUAGAGCAUAUCUUUUAAAUUCUAAAUCACAUAUAAAGUGGAGGCACUGCAAUCUUUUCAUGGCUUAGUGCCUUUAUAGGGCUUAAUCCAGCCCUGUAACUCAGGCAUUUACAGGUCAAAAAUGAAUAUAUAUUGUGGUGGGCAGGAGGUAUAUGGGAACUUUGUACUUUCUGCUCACUUUCCCUGUGGAUCUCAAACUGCUCUACAAAUAAGCCCCUGUUAAAAAAAAAAAAAAGGAGAUGAAGGUUCCCUUACAUCAACUGUUUAAGAGUCGGUCUGUAAGAAGCAACAACCUCUCCUCUUCAUCUCUGUCAUCUGCCAGGCAGCUGUGAAACAGAAACCAAGCCCUUGCCCAAGCAGUGUUUGUAGACCUGGAACCCAUGGUCAUUGACGAAGUUUGCUCUGGCACAUACCGUGAGCUCUUCCAACCUGAGCAUAUCAUCACGGGCAAGGAAGAUGCUGCCAAUAAUUAUGCCCGAGGGCACUACACCAUUGGCAAGGAGAUAAUUGACUUCAUGUUGGGCCAAAUUCAUAAACUGGCCAACUUGUGCACAGGUCUUCGGGGCUUCUUGGUUUUCACAGCUUUGGCAGGGGAACUGGUUCUGGGUUCACCUCCCUGCUCAUGGAAUGUCUCUCUGUUGACUAUGGUAAGAAAUCCGAGCUGGAGUUCUCCAUUUACCCAGCUCCUCAGGUUUCCAUACCUGUACUAGAGCCCUACAAUUCCACUCUCACCACCCACAUCACCCUGGAGCACUCCGAUUGUGCUUUCAUGAUAGACAGUGAGGCCAUUUAGGGCAUCUGUUAUAGAAACCUUGAUAUUAAGCCCCCAACCUACACUAACCUAAAUAGGUUCAUAGGUCAAAUUGUGUCCUCUGUCACUGCUUCCCUGAGAUUUGAUGGAACCCUAAAUAUUGAUCUGACAGAACUCCAGACCAACCUGGAGUCCUAUCCCUGCAUCCACUUCUCUCUGGGCAACUAUGCCCUCUGAUAUGAUUUGGCUCUGUGUCCCCACCCAAAUCUCAUUUUGUAGCUACCAUAAUCCCCAUGUGUUGUGGGAGAGACUUGGUGGAAGAUGAUUAAAUCAUGGGGGUGGGUCUUUCCAGUGCUGUUUUCAUGAUAGUGAAUAACUCUCACAAGACCUGUUGGCUAUUAGAAACUGGAGUUUCUCUGCACAAGCUCUCUCUUUGCCUGCUGCCAUCCAUGUAAGAUGUGACUUGCUCCUCCUUGUCUUCCACCAUGAUUGUGAGGCCUCCCCAGCCAUGUGGAGCUGUAAGUCCAAUAAACCUCUUGCUUUUGUAAAUUGCCCAGCCUUGUGUAUGUCUUUAUCAGCAGUAUGAAAACAAACUAAUACACCCUCAUCAUCUCUACUGGGAAAGCCUACCAUAGACAGCUUUCUGUAGCAGAGAUUACCAAUGCUUUCUUUGAGCAAGCCAGCCAGGUGGUGAAACAUGACCCUUACUAUGGUAAAUACAUGGCUUGCUGCUUGUUGUACCAUAAAGAUGUGGUUCCCAAAGAUGUCAGUGCUGCCAUUGCCACCAUCAAGACCGAGCGUACCAUCCAGUCUGUGGAUUGGUGCCCCACUGGCUUCAAGAUGGCAUUAAUUACUAGCCUCCCACUGUGGUGCCUGGCAGAGACCUGACUGAGAUACAGAGAGCU
rnacentral:lncRNA from 1 species